CAACGAUUCACGACAAUUUAGUUUCGAACUGGGACGUGGGAACAAGGACAGACAGUGACACUGGGACAGAACAAUCCAGAGUGCAUCCAGAGGGAAAUUCCCACCUUCCCAAGGUGCAUCCUGGCCACAGGACAUGCCAGCUGCUGGUCCCAAGCUCUGCAGUGCUGGAGGAGGAGCACAGAGCAUGGAUCUGGGGCAGUGGGGACAGCUCCUCACUGCCACAUCACCACAGAGGAUCAGGCAGUGCUGCCUUUAAAUGGCUCCAGCACAUCAGGAUUAUUAACUUUGUUAUUACCACUAGUAAUAUGUUAUUAUUAA